rnacentral:rRNA from 1 species
AUUGAACGCUGGCGGCAGGCCUAACACAUGCAAGUCGAACGAGUGGCGGACGGGUGAGUAAUGUCUGGGAAACUGCCUGAUGGCGGGGGAUAACUACUGGUAACGGUAGCUAAUACCGCAUACCAUCAGAUGUGCCCAGAUGGGAUUCGCUAGUUGGUGGGGUAACGGCGCACCGAGGCGACGAUCCCUAGCUGGUCUGAGAGGAUGACCAGCCACACUGGAACAGAGGCACGGUCCAGCCGCCUACGGUAGGCAGCAGUGGGGAAUAUUGCAAUAUGGGCGCAAGCGUGAUGCAGCCAUGCCGCGUGUAGGAAGAAGGCCUUCGGGUUGUAGAGUACUUACAGCGGGGAGGCGUUACCCGCAGAAGAAGCACCGGCUAACUCCGUGCCAGCCGCCGCGGUAAUUC